UUCAAAAGUCUUGACAGGUAGUAUGGGUUUAUCUUUCCUUCUUCCUGAAGUCGACUCUGGCAUCCUCUCUCUCUCCCUUUGGUUGGCUUUAUUCUUUCUGUGUGUUUCUUCCUAGGGUUUCCAGGCUAACCAUGGCUUCCUGAGAUUUUACAUUAACCAUGAUCUCGAUCAGACCUACAUGCUCAAAUAUGACAGCGUUCAUGGUUUGUGGAACAAGCAUGAGUUUAAGGUCAAGGACGAGAAGACACUUCUUUUCGAUAUUGGGGGUUUAUCUCGGGUUCAAGAGGUGAUUAUCUGUGGUGUGGUUGGUUGUUGGCCCAAGGAGAUGUGUGUCUCACCUCUUUGGGUCAAGAAGAAUUCCUUCGGCAAAGCCUAAAGCAGGCUCCUACUGUUGGUAACCUCGAAUUCACUUUCUAUGAGAUUUACUGGAUUCUGCAUCGACUGGAGUUCACUGGGUUACUUUGAUGGCUGAACAGUGAGAAGGAUUUCAAGGGUAGGAUUGCUGGAGUCCUGAACAGUUUGACUUCAGCGCCACAUAUAUAUAUAGACACAAUACAUCUCAAAAUCAAGUUUUUCUUAUUGAGGACACAACUAUGUAUCUUAAGAAGUUUGAGUUUGUUAAUGGUUAUUUGAUGAAAAUCUUUCUGGUGUAGGUCGACUUUGCUUUGUGUUGCUUUAAACUCCAUUAUAUACACAAAUUUUUGAAUUCAACAAUUUUGGGAUGCUUAGUGGCCUUUCCUACGCUUAACUCUGGUGGUGUAUUUGUUUUCUAAUUCUUCUCUGUUUUUUGAGUUAAUUUUAUGCUGUUGUGAGUUUUUUUCCUGAUUUGUUUACGUUCCUUUUUUUUUACAUAUAGUUUCUACAUUUGACUUUAAGUUGGCUUUUGAUGAAGGACCUUGGCCAAAAAGACUGCUUAUGUAUGCCAAUCCAUGAUUUCACUACUUUGCUGCAUCAUAAUCACAAUAUCUCUGAUUUGUUGAAUAUUAAUGCUUCUCACAUGAUCUUUGGUUUCCAGGAAAGGUCACGAAUACUGUUAUGGUUUGCUCUAAUCACUUUCAGAUGCAUUGCACUAUUGAAAUGGUUUCCCUCCAUUUUAAAUCACAAUUGUUGGAUGGCGAUUUGGAGAUGGAGAUGGAGAUCGAGAUGGAUUUGGAUUUUUAUUUUGGGUGGAGUGACACGUGUUGGUCGAUUUUGGGUGGCUUGCGAUAGUUCACCGGGCUCUGUCCCUUUUUAUUGGGGUAGCUCUGUCCAUGUUGGUCGUUCAAUUACAUGUAUUUCUGUCAUGUGUUUGCGUCCACUAUUUUGAUCGGAUACAUUGAUUAGUCAGUGGAUAAAUUUUGUUCAUAAAUUGCAUUCAUGUGAUGAUAUCAAAGAUCUUACAAUUUACAAUGCCUGAAGAAUUUUUCUUUUCUUCUUUCAACUACUGAUGUUGGCUGCAUUCUUCAGUUUUGCAUUCUUAAGUACUGCAUCAGGGGCUGUCUGGAGAAGCUGGUGGAAGAGAUGGCAAACGUUGAUCAGCAUUUAAGACUUCUUAUCAGUAUUUGUGAAGGAAAAAAAAAAAGAAUGGGAGGAGACUACCACCACCGUAAUGAACGUGCAGACGGAUGCGUUGUUGUCAAACAGUGGCUUCUCCUAACAAUAUUACUAUGGAUGGACUUUUAAAGUUAUAUAGAAUAUGGCAUUAGUUGUCAAGGUACGUCUAUUGUAAGCCUUAAUUAUAGCUUUUCAUUUAUACGUACUCUUCAUUUUCAGAUAUGCUUAGAAACUUCUUUAAGCUUUGGGCAUUGGUUUAUCAUUUGAUUUGUUAUUGUGGUACUUCAUGAUUUAUUGAUGGAUGUCUCUUCGCUCUAAUCUGGACUAUGUGUUAUAUUGAUUUGGAUCAACUAAUUUUGAUUGCUCAUCAUUUUUGUGAAUUUUUAGUUCUUAGGUUCUCCAAAACAGGGUUGAUUAACCCACCAGCUAAUCUCAAGAAGAAAAAUCUCAAAUUCUGUCUCUGUCAUUAAUGAAAAAAAACGGUGUUGAUUCUCUUAACAGCAGUUGUCAAUUGUCAACGAGAAUGACAACUGUUGUUCUUUUCCCUCUUUUAGUUGUGGAUGAAAUUCUAUUAGAUAUUAUGUUCAUUGCAUCCUUAUGUCGUGUCCUUGCAUUUUUAUGUAGUAAGUUUGAAGUUAUGACCUGUCCUUGCUAAACUUUUCUUUACUGAAGAUGAGAAUCAAGUAACUUUCUAUAACUUUUUAUAUAUAAUAAUAGUGUGAUAUCACAUGGUGGGAACUUCUGUGCUUCACUGGUUCUAUUAAUCUCCACCCUAUGAUGGCUUUCAAAGUCCUAUUCAUAGUGUGAAGAGGAUUGAUCCUCAUUUGUGGACAGUCCAAGUUGACAACCUAUUUUGUUGUAGACCUCAGAUGGCUUAGUGGGUGCAAUACUACCUUGCCAAGCUCCCAAUACAUAAAACACAAUGCAGAGGCCACUCACUCCCAGGAUCCAUGGGAUACGCUUCCUCUGGUUUUCUAACUGAUGAUGCUUUGGAGAUCCACCAGCAAUUGUAGUUUAUUAUAACCUGCCAGUUAAUUAUAUCAAUUGGAAACCAAGGAUUCGGAUAAAAUUUUCAAUUUUUUUGGUCGUAGUAAGGCUUUUGUGUCUUCAUUUUGUAUUUUUCAGUCAUUAGAAGCAUAUUCUACAUGAUAGGUCAGAAACUACCAGUUUGUUUCCGUACCUCAGAAGGGUCGACAUCAUAGAAGAUUGGGAGAACUGUUUGCCUCUGAUCAUUCAUGCAUUCAACAAUCUUCAAGAGCUCAUCCAAGCACCAGGAUGAAGUAGCAUAGUUUCUGGAGAAAACAAUGAGAAAAUCUGGACCCUUGGAUUGCAUUGAGGAGGUCCGUAGAAAUAGGCUUUCCUCUCUAAAGUUUCAAAUCAUCUCUAAAAGUGACAAUGCCUUUCUCAGUCAAAGCUACGUACAGAUGAUAUGUGAAGUUCUUGCGAGUGUCUUCUCUAAAACUAAUGAAAACAUCGUACUUCCAGUGAAAGGCAGAAGAAGAAGAAGAAGAAGAGCUGCAUCUGUGCUCAUGAUCAUGGGCGCCAUUGACAAAGAGUGAAGACUAAAGAGGCUUAAUUGGUCCAAUGAAGGUUGAGAUUAUUGUUGUGUAAGUUUGAUACGAUCUAAUUCAUUACAUAUAAGGUUAUACGGAGAAUAUGCAGAGUAGGACUUAUAGCCAUACGUGGCUCUUUUGUGACUCUUUAAUCCUAUCACUGAACCAAUAGCUGUGAUCCUUAAUUUCUAUAUUGAAAUAAUAGCACCAUUUACUUAUUAGUUA